rnacentral:rRNA from 1 species
GACGAACGCUGGCGGCGUGCUUAACACAUGCAAGUCGAACGGAAAGGCCCUGCUUGCAGGGUACUCGAGUGGCCAACGGGUGAGUAACACGUGGGUGAUCUGCCCUGCACUUCGGGAUAAGCCUGGGAAACUGGGUCUAAUACCGGAUAGGAACCAUUUUUAGUGUGAUGGUUGGAAAGUUUUUUCGGUGUAGGAUGAGCUCGCGGCCUAUCAGCUUGUUGGAGGGGUAAUGGCCUACCAAGGCGGCGACGGGUAGCCGGCCUGAGAGGGUGGACGGCCACAUUGGGACUGAGAGACGGCCCAGACUCCUACGGGAGGCAGCAGUGGGGAAUAUUGAACAAUGGGCGCAAGCCUGAUGCAGCGACGCCGCGUGGGGGAUGACGGCCUUCGGGUUGUAAACUCCUUGCGCUAGGGACGAAGCUUUUUGUGACGGUACCUAGAUAAGAAGCACCGGCUAACUACGUG